GCACUUGGUAUGUAUUAUUCAUUUAAUCCUCACAACAACUCAGGAAGGCAGGUACUGUUACUAUCCCCAUUUUACAACUGAGUCCCAAAGAGGUUGAGGGAUUUGCUAGUCAGUAGGGGAAAUGGGAUUCAGUCCCAGGCAGUCUGGCUUCAGAAGCCCCGAAUGGCUUCUUGGUUAUGAGGGAAGUAUUGUAUUUGGAGGAAAUGAGCUCUAUUUGAAUGUGGAUAUGAACAAUGAAAUGCUCAAUGAUGCCAGUAGCAACUCACAGAGAUGCUCAAGGACUAAAAUCCUCACAAUCUUACACUCUCUGUUUAAAUCAAUAAGAUGAAACCGAUGCAGAUGUACCAGUGGCCCAGCAGGCCCCUUUUCUUCUACAGAGCUGAGGCAGAGCAAAUUUACAUGAUUGAGUGUUAAUAGAGCCUUUGUCAUGACCAGCAGAUGACAAAUUUCUAAAGGUCUGAACUCAUUAUCAUGUGCACACAGGGCAAAGCUUAUAGGCUUCUGCAGGAAAUCAUUAUUGCAAAAACAAACUUAAAUGUUCCUUAAAGCAAAACAGGGCUGCCUAGGAAUCAGUGCAAAAGUCAGAACUCUCUUUCUCUUCCUCGCCCUGCCCUCUCUAUGUGUGUGUAUUUGUAUAAACAAACAAAUAAACAUGUGGAAAACUUGUCCAGUGGUGUGCUGGUAAGUGUUUAACAAAUGGGGGAAGAAAAGUCUAUCUGGAGUGGUUGCCAAUUUCUGUGAUGUAAAUAUUCCCACCAUGCCGAUUUUAAGUUACCAAUGUGAUGUCACAGAAUGCAGAGUUGGAAAGAGAUGCUAAGAUUGACUUUCUUGUGCCAGUAUGUGCUGGCUGCAGCCCCCAAGUGACAUUAGAUACAAGAGAAAAGACACCCCAUAGCUCAGAGUUGCAAAAACAUGUCAGAUUUGAAACAGCUUCACUGAAAUGCAUAUGCCAUUGUAUCAGACUUCUCUAAUGACAACUGUAUUAUUUUUGUUUCUAAAAUUAGUGAAACAAAAAAAAUUAUUUUUAGAUGCAUCCCAAUAAUUCCUUUUCUAUUAUACUUUGGUGCUCUGGGAGAUGUACUGACGCUGCUAAAGGAGCUGCCACCUUUAGGAAUUUCAACUCUGAAAGAGAGAAAAAGGCUGAGACGUGAGACCCUUGGAGUCGGGAGUGCUGAUACUGCCCGUGGCCCUGCUGAUGAGGGAAAUGAGUCCAGAGAACAAUUAUUCACCCAAAGUCACACUGCUGGUGAGGGCUGACCUGGAGCUCCAAAUAAGCGGAUGCAGCAAGAAAGAGCCAUCUUGGAAGCAGAGACCAGACCCUCAUCAGACAGCAAACCUGCUGUCACCUUGAUCUUGGACUUCCCAGCCUCCAGAACUAUUCUCUCUGGAUGCUGGCUUUGUUGGCUCAGACUCUUCCACGUGGCUGCAGGGAGCCCUGGGUUACAUCCUUAUAUUUCAUGAUGAGAGCAGAAAGAGGCAUUCUUCCCUUCCUGCUGCAGAAGGAAAAAACUGGAAAAGGGCUCUGAUAAACCUAGUUGGACCAGUCACUGGGGCUGAGGGGUGAGGUUCUGUAACUGGUUCAGCCUGGGCUGCAUGGCUUCUCUCGAGGCCCCUGGGUGGGCAGAGUUGGGGGGCAGGCCACCCCAACUGGAGAGAAAGCCACCACACCAGCUCACUGGGUUCUCAGCACAGGGCUUUGCCACCUCACCUUGCUGCCUUUGACAUCACACAGCUAACUCACUGGCCUAUUUCCCAGGUACUGGGGACUCUGGUAUCCUCUGUGUACUGCAGUGACAGUUGCUUAAUUCCUGGUUAGCAUCAUGUUUGUUUUCAUGGGUGGUCAAAAAUAAAUACCCUCGUACUUUUGAAACCACACCUGAGGAGCUGCUGAUUUCCUUUUAAUAGUAAAAGUGCAAACCAUUAUCCAUUAUCGUCCGAAAUAACCAACUUUCCUUUAAAGAUACUGUCCAUUUUUCUCGCUGAUGCUAUCCCUUCGGCUUUGGAAAAACAGUCAUGUUCCUCCCAAAUUAUGCUUCUGAUGAAUGUGGUCCCUGGAUAUUCAGCUGGGAUGGUGAUCCACGCAGACAGCAAUUGAAAUGGCCAAUCACAGGAGCUACUAAAUCACGCCUGAGUGCAGCCGUCUCUACUGCUCAAGGUCUGGAGGGACAUUUGAAGAAAAUGACUAAAGCUUCAGACUUCCGCAGUUGCCAGAUUUUUUAGCUUUGUCAAAGGCAAAAACAACUCCAGGAGGCCUUAGCUCUGAGAUGCUUGAAAAAGCUUCUAAAGAAACUGGUGAACCAAGGGGUAUUGUCCUAAUUUUUGAAUGAUGCCUUAAGUUUGUAAGACUUGCAGAAAAUUUGUCAGCCUGCAUUAUAGUCUGACUGGUUUUGAUGACUACAGUGCUCUACUUUGUAGUACUUGUGGUUAAAUUUUUUAGUAAACUUUUAAUAAUUAAAGUAUAUAUACACUUUAAAGUAUAUACGCACAAGGGUUAAGCAUGCAGUUUGAUGACGUCCCACAAAGUGAACAUAGUUGUAUAAUUGCUGUGAAGAUCAAAAAUAUGAUACUACCCCAGGAAUGGAACUGUACCCAAUAAUCCCCUCUUCCCACCUGGGUUCUUUCCCAGUCUUUAUCUUACCAUACCCUGAUUUCUAACAUGAUGGGUAAGUUUUGCCUGUUUUUGAGCUUAUAUAUUCACACCGGCAGUAUGAGUAUCUCAGGUGCUCCAAAUUCUUUAUAGCACUUUGUAUUACUAGGUCUUUUUAUUUCAGUCAUUUUAAUGGGUGUUUAGUGAUCACAUUGGUUUUUAAAUUUGCUUUUCCAUGAUGACUAAUAACGUUGAACACCUUUACCAAUGCUGUUGGAAAUUCAGAUAUCCUCAUUCAAAAAGUACCUGCUCAUGUAUUUUUCUCAGUUUUCUGGAUUGUCUCCUAUGUAGACAUUCUUUGUGUAUGUUGAAUAUGAGUUCUUUAUUGGUUAUAUAUAUUGUAAAUAUUUUUCUACGAUGUGUUUUAUA